CUCAUUGUAAUAUAAUAAUGGUAAUAGGACCUACCUGAAAGCAUUGUGGGGAGAAUUUAGUGAGUGAGUAUAUGUAAAGUGCUUCAAAUGCUGUAAAGCACUAUAGGGCUGUUAACCAUUAUUGUUGUUUUUAAGAUUUACACUCCUCUUCCUAGGACUGGUCAAGUCUAGGACUCAAUGCAGUUGCCUUGGCUGUUGUUCACCAGCAUGGAAGGUGCUGGUCUGAAUGCUGGGAGGGUGGGGCAGGUAUGUCUCUUGACUCUUGCAUCUCAUAGCACAUCUCUGACUGACCACUAGGCACCAAGCUAGAUCUGGCCGGCUGUGUGCACAGACAUAAAGGACGGAAUGUUCUGGCUACUACCUCUGCAAAACAAGAAUGCUGUCAACCUGAGAGAGGAAGGAAUGUUCACUACCUACCUCUCCCUCCUUUCACUGCAGACGAGAACUCUCUGUACUUGGGAGUCAUACUGGUCCUGACCACACAGCAGCCACAUAAGGACACCUGCGGGAACUUUCCCUCUUCCAUACUGGAGUGCUUCUUCCCUAGUAAUUCAGUACAGGUCCCUGGAGCCUUGGACACUCACCAAAGACCCCUGCAUCUCCAAGGCCUUGGAAUGGAGGUUUGUCACAGCCAGUGGUUCAUGGUGGGCGGGGUUGGGGGUGGGGACUCUGUUGGUACCAGGGCUUGCUUCUGCCAGAGCGCAGACAGCGAAAAGAGCCAAGUUUUACAGUUAGAUCUGUUUGCAAAUCCCAGCUCUGUCAAUUUCACAACUGUGUGACCUUAGUCAAAGUAUUUCACUUCUCUGAGGGCCUCAGUUUCCCUCCGGUGUGACUCAUAGGAGGUGUAAGUUAUGUUUGUAAAUGUAUAGACACAAGACUAAAACUGUAGUUGUCCCUGCAGAAGGGACCCAAGGGACAGGAAAGGAGAGAGACUAACUUUUCACUGUGUGUGUGUGAGCACGUGCGGGCACACACACACACACACGAUCAGUCCUGUCCGACUCUUCGUGACCCCAUGGACUGUAGCCCACCAGGCUCCUCUGUCCAUGGGAUGUUCCAGGCAAGAAUACUGGAGCGGGUUGCCAUUUCCUACUAGAG
ensembl:lncRNA